rnacentral:rRNA from 1 species
AACGCUGGCGGCGUGCCUAACACAUGCAAGUCGAGCGAGAAAAGGGGGGCAACUCCCUGAGUACAGCGGCGCACGGGUGAGUAACACGUGGGUAAUCUGCCCUGGAGUGGGGAAUAACACCGGGAAACCGGUGCUAAUACCGCAUACGAUCACGAUGUCUGCGGACGUUGUGAUGAAAGGAGCAAUUCGCUCUAGGAGGAGCCCGCGGCUGAUUAGCUAGUUGGUGAGGUAAUGGCUCACCAAGGCUACGAUCAGUAUCCGGUCUGAGAGGACGGUCGGACACACUGGAACUGAGACACGGUCCAGACUCCUACGGGAGGCAGCAGUGGGGAAUUUUUGGCAAUGGGGGCAACCCUGACCAAGCAACGCCGCGUGGGUGAUGAAGUCUCUUGGGACGUAAAACCCUUUCGACGGGGAAGAAACCGCAAGGUUGACGGUACCCGUAGAAGAAGCCCCGGCUAACUCCGUGCCAGCAGCCGCGGUAAUACGGGGGGGGCAAGCGUUGUUCGGAAUUACUGGGCGUAAAGGGUGCGUAGGCGGUUCGCUAAGUUGGAUGUGAAAACUCUGGGCUCAACCCAGAGCCUGCAUCCAAAACUGGCGGGCUAGAGUUCUGGAGGGGAUAGCGGAAUUCCUGGUGUAGCGGUGAAAUGCGUAGAUAUCAGGAGGAACACCGGUGGCGAAGGCGGCUAUCUGGACAGAAACUGACGCUGAGGCACGAAAGCUAGGGGAGCAAACAG